rnacentral:tRNA from 1 species
GCUUGCAUGGUGUAGUGGUUUGAAUGUUGGACUAGGACUCCAGGAGACCAGGGUUCAAAUCCCCACUUAACCA